CCCUUAGAUGUUCUGGGCCGCACGCGCGCUACACUGAUGCAUUCAACGAGCCUAUCCUUGACCGACAGGUCCGGGUAAUCUUUGAAUCUGCAUCGUGACGGGGAUAGAUUAUUGCAAUUAUUAAUCUUCAACGAGGAGUGCCUAGUAGGCGCAAGUCAUCAGCUUGCGUCGAUUACGUCCCUGCCCUUUGUACACACCGCCCGUCGCUCCUACCGAUUGGGUGUGCUGGUGAAAUGUUCGGAUCGGCCGUUUGUCGCGGUUUCCGCGUCAUGUGGCUGAGAAGUUCAUUAAACCCUCCCACCGAGAGGAAGGAGAAGUCGUAACA
rnacentral:rRNA from 1 species